AACGCACCUUGCACCCUUUGGUAUUCCGAAGGGUACACCCGUUUGAGUGUCAUUGUAAUCUCACUCCUUCAACUUUGUUGUUGUUGGAUGUGGACUUGGACUCUGUCGUGUCACAACGACUGGUCUUAAAUGAAUGAGUGCACCCUGCUGUUGCAGCGUCUUCAGUGUGAUAAGCAUCUUCACUGGAACAAAGUUCCCUUUUGGGACACGCAGGCAUUGUAGGCUCUGUGCUGGCAAACCGUCCUUUUUGGACAAAUCUUUGACAAUUUGACCUCAAAUCGGGUGGGACUACCCGCUGAACUUAA
rnacentral:misc_RNA from 1 species